rnacentral:rRNA from 1 species
UGCUAGUCGAGUGACUCAGGCAAAACGAGUCACGGCACACAGCUCAGUAACACGUGGCUAAUCUGCCCUUAGGACGAGAACAACCCCGGGAAACUGGGGCUAACUCUUGAUAGGUGAAGAACUCUGGAAUGAGUCUUUGCCUAAAAAGAUUCACGUUAUCCUCGUGAACCUGCCUAAGGAUGAGGCCGCGACCGAUCAGGUUGUUGGUGAGGUAAUGGCUCACCAAGCCUUUUACCGGUGCGGGCCGUGGGAGCGGGAGCCCGGAGAUGGGUACUGAGACAAGGACCCAGGCCCUACGGGGCGCAGCAGUCGCGAAACCUUUGCAAUACACGAAAGUGUGACAGGGCUAUCCCGAGUGCCAUCCGCUGAGGAAGGCUUUUACCCAGUCUAGAACGCUGGGGGAAUAAGGAGAGGGCAAGUCUGGUGUCAGCCGCCGCGGUAAUACCAGCUCUCCGAGUGGUGUGGAUGUUUAUUGGGCCUAAAGCAUCCGUAGCUGGCUAGGUUAGUCCCUUGUUAAAUCCACCGAAUUAAUCGUUGGAUCGCGGGGGAUACUGCUUGGCUAGGGGACGAGAGAGGCAGACGGUAUUUUCGGGGUAGGGGUGAAAUCCUAUAAUCCCGGGAAGACCACCAGUGGCGAAGGCUGUCUGCUAGAACGCGCCCGACGGUGAGGGAUGAAAGCUGGGGGAGCGAACCGGAUUAGAUACCCGGGUAGUCCCAGCUGUAAACGAUGCAGACUAGGUGUUUGGACGGCCACGUGCCGUUCUAGUGCCGCAGGAAAGCUGUUAAGUCUGCCGCCUGGGGAGUACGAUCGCAAGAUUGAAACUUAA